rnacentral:lncRNA from 1 species
AGAAACCUUGCCAUCACGAAGUCCUCCCAGAGCGGAUUAGAUUUUUCUAUAAUUUCAGUCGGAACCUCAACUGAACGUUUCCCCUCCGAUAUCGCAACAUCAACCUCAUAUUUCUUCAAAACCUGCUUCUUCUAUGCCACCCGACCCAAGUUUUAACAACUUUCUGUAUCUCCGGCGGAGGAUCUGCCAGAAUCUCUGUCGUAGCCAUCUCUACUGCCUUCAUUGACAGCGGAGAUCGUAGAUCACCGGUUGUUUCCGUUAUCGCCUUCAAAAUCGCCAAAUCGCUUAGGUUACCAAAACGGUGUGUUUUCUCUCUCAAUCUCUCCAAAAGUAAAUCACAAGGCCCAAUCUAUAUUAUUAAAACAGAAACAUUGGAUUGGACUUAACUUUUAUUUUGUAAGUUUUUAAAUUAAAUAC